GAACGAGAAAGGGGAGCAAUCCCUGAGUAAAGUGGCGACCGGGUGAGUAACACGUGACUAACCUGCCCUUGAGUGGGGGAUAACCUCGGGAAACCGGGGCUAAUACCGCAUAACAUCGCAAGAUCAAAGGAGCAAUCCGCUGAAGGAGGGGGUCGCGGCUGAUUAGUUAGUUGGUGAGGUAACGGCUCACCAAGACGAAGAUCAGUAGCCGGCCUGAGAGGGCGCACGGCCACACUGGAACUGAAACACGGUCCAGACUCCCACGGGAGGCAGCAGUGGGGAAUUUUGCGCAAUGGGGAAAACCCUGACGCAGCAACGCCGCGUGGAGGAUGAAGUCCCUUGGGAUGUAAACUCCUUUCGAUCGGGACGAUUAUGACGGUACCGGAAGAAGAAGCACCGGCUAACUCUGUG
rnacentral:rRNA from 1 species